GGGGGGGGAUUCAGACCCCCAUUUCUUCUAUAUUUUGGGUGGUUUACCCCAUUUCUUCUAUAUUUUGGGUGGUUUUCCCCCUUCUCCAGGCCCGGCGGCCGUGGCGGAGGUUGCCCCCGGCUCAGUGGAGAUCACAGAUUUCCAGCGGGUGCGUUUCCGUAAGAAUUCCCAUUCUCCAGCUGAUCGCUAACGAGGGGGGGGGACUGACCCCCCCUCCCAACACCCUUUGGGGCUCUGUCUGUCCUGUCUGUCCAUCCGUCCGUCCUUCCCGUCUCCGCUUC
rnacentral:lncRNA from 1 species